rfam:Methanosaeta harundinacea 6Ac, complete genome.
AGCCCGGUGAUGUAGCGGUCAAUCAUACGAGGCUCUGGACCUCGUCACCAAGGUUCGAAUCCUUGCCGGGCUA